rnacentral:rRNA from 1 species
CACGUAGGGUGCGAGCGUUGUCCGGAAUUAUUGGGCGUAAAGAGCUCGUAGGCGGUGUGUCGCGUCGGCCGUGAAAACCUACAGCUUAACUGUGGGCUUGCGGUCGAUACGGGCAUCACUGGAGUUCGGCAGGGGAGACUGGAAUUCCUGGUGUAGCAGUGAAAUGCGCAGAUAUCAGGAGGAACACCGGUGGCGAAGGCGGUUCUCUGGGCCUGUACUGACGCUGAGGAGCGAAAGCGUGGGGAGCGAACAGG